CAUUUAGACAGUCUGUCCAACCCCCGUUCUCCUUAUCACUUGGUUUGUAUAUACUAUGCAUUCCUUUAGCUCUGGGAAAGUGGUUAGUUUUACAGAUAGAAAUCUUGUGUCUUUUGUUAGCUUGAAAAUAACAAAAUGGAGUCUGCUCUAUUUAGAGUGACUCAGCAUAUACACUUUUAAUUUCUAUCAUAGCACAAGAUGUCUGCCGAUAUAAAUACCCUGACAGUUCACAGGAGGGCUACCUCUAAAAUUUAAUUCUCAUGAGAUAAAUGAUGAUUUGUUGAUGUCAUAUUGCAUGUAGCUAAC